rnacentral:rRNA from 1 species
UACGGGAGGGUGCGAGCGUUUAUCCGGAAUUACUGGGUUUAAAGGGUGCGUAGGCGGCGCUGUAAGUCAGGAGUGAAAGUUUGCGGCUCAACCGUAAAAUUGCUUUUGAUACUGCGGUGCUAGAAUUAGGAUGAGGUCAGCGGAAUGUGGCAUGUAGCGGUGAAAUGCAUAGAUAUGCCAUAGAACACCAAUUGCGAAGGCAGCUGGCUAGACCUAUAUUGACGCUGAGGCACGAAAGCGUGGGGAGCGAACAGG